rnacentral:rRNA from 1 species
GUUAUAUAGUCAAGUGAUUAAGCGUACACGGUGGAUGCCUUGGCAGCCAGAGGCGAUGAAGGACGUUGUAGCUUGCGAUAAGCUUCGGGGAGGUAGCAAACAACCUUUGAUCCGGAGAUUUCCGAAUGGGGAAACCCACCUGUCAUAAGGCAGGUAUCGCAUACUGAAUACAUAGGUAUGCGAGGCGAACGCGGGGAACUGAAACAUCUAAGUACCCGUAGGAACAGAAAUCAAUUGAGAUUCCGUCAGUAGCGGCGAGCGAACGCGGAUUAGCCCUUAAGUCUGUGAAAGAUUAGGAGAACGGUCUGGGAAGGCCGGCCAUAGUGGGUGAUAGCCCCGUAUCCGAAAAUCUGAUCAGGUGAAAUCGAGUAGGUCGGAGCACGUGAAACUCUGAUUGAACAUGGGGGGACCAUCCUCCAAGGCUAAAUACUCCUGGCUGACCGAUAGUGAACCAGUACCGUGAGGGAAAGGCGAAAAGAACCCCGGAGAGGGGAGUGAAAUAGAACCUGAAACCGUGUACGUACAAGCAGUCGGAGCCCUCUUUGUGGGGUGACGGCGUACCUUUUGUAUAAUGGGUCAGCGACUUAAUUUCAGUAGCGAGGUUAACCGUUUAGGGGAGCCGUAGGGAAACCGAGUCUUAAUAGGGCGUUUAGUUGCUGGGAUUAGACCCGAAACCGGGCGAUCUAUCCAUGGGCAGGUUGAAGAUGCGGUAACACGCAUUGGAGGACCGAACCGACUACCGUUGAAAAGUUAGCGGAUGACCUGUGGAUCGGAGUGAAAGGCUAAUCAAGCUCGGAGAUAGCUGGUUCUCCCCGAAAGCUAUUUAGGUAGCGCCUCGGACGAAUACCACUGGGGGUAGAGCACUGUUUCGGCUAGGGGGUCAUCCCGACUUACCAAACCGAUGCAAACUCCGAAUACCAGUGAGUACUAUCCGGGAGACACACGGCGGGUGCUAACGUCCGUCGUGAAGAGGGAAACAACCCAGACCGCCAGCUAAGGUCCCCAAAUUCCAGUUAAGUGGGAAACGAUGUGGGAAGGCUCAGACAGCUAGGAGGUUGGCUUAGAAGCAGCCACCCUUUAAAGAAAGCGUAAUAGCUCACUAGUCGAGUCGGCCUGCGCGGAAGAUGUAACGGGGCUCAAACUGGAUACCGAAGCUGCGGCAGCAGACUUGUUCUGCUGGGUAGGGGAGCGUUGUGUAAGCCUGUGAAGGUGUGUUGAGAAGCAUGCUGGAGGUAUCACAAGUGCGAAUGCUGACGUGAGUAACGAUAAUGGGGGUGAAAAACCCCCACGCCGAAAGACCAAGGUUUCCUGCGCAACGCUAAUCGGCGCAGGGUGAGUCGGCCCCUAAGGCGAGGCAGAAAUGCGUAGCUGAUGGGAAACGGGUUAAUAUUCCCGUACUUCUUAUAACUGCGAUGGAGAGACGGAGAAGGCUAUGCCUACCGGGCGUUGGUUGUCCCGGGGAAAGGCUGUAGGCUGAGGUGUUAGGCAAAUCCGGCACCUUAAGGCUGAGAGUCGAGACCACUGGUCCUUUGUGACCGGGAAGUGGUU